rnacentral:rRNA from 1 species
UACGGGGGGGUGCGAGCGUUGUCCGGAAUUACUGGGCGUAAAGCGUGCGCAGGCGGUCUUGUAAGCCAGAUGUGAAAUCCCCGGGCUUAACCUGGGAACUGCAUUGUGACUGGCGGGCUAGAGUAUGGCAGAGGGGGGUAGAAUUCCGACGUGUAGCAGUGAAAUGCGUAGAGAUGUGGAGGAAUACCGAUGGCGAAGGCAGCCCCCUGGGCCAAUACUGACGCUCAUGCACGAAAGCGUGGGGAGCAAACAGG